GAAAUGCGAUAAGUAAUGUGAAUUGCAGAAUUUCAGUGAAUCAUCGAAUCUUUGAACGCACAUUGCGCCCUCUGGUAUUCCGGGGGGCAUACCUGUCCGAGCGUCAUGAUAACCCUCAAGCUUCGGCUUGGUGUUGGGCCUGCGUCCACCGGACGGGCCUGAAAAUCAGUGGCGAUGCCCUCCGGGCUGCAAGCGUAGUAGAUCUCUCUCGCUUGGUGGUCUGGUGGCGUGUCCGCCAGCAAUCAUCUCACUUUUUUUUUAACGAUUGACCUCGGAUCAGGUAGGGAUACCCGCUGAACUUAA
rnacentral:misc_RNA from 1 species